rnacentral:lncRNA from 1 species
GCUCCCUUCGCCGCGCCUCGCGUGCUAGCGGUGCCCUUGUGAGCCACUGCGUUCUCCAAGGCCAGAACGGGACAGAUGGAGAAAUUGAGAUGAGAGCUCAUCCACAAGAUUACCCAUCAAUGAGCACCAAUAGCAACCAAAUCCACUAGAAGACUGGGAGCUUUUAAGUCAAGAAACUUACAUCAGUAUCAUCAUUCCAAGAAGCGGUAUCCAAGCUGUUUUAUCGAAAGUGCGCAUGGGAGAUAAGACUCUGAGAAUUUAUAGAAACAAACAUUAGAAGGCAGGAAUGUGGAGAGAAGAAAGCUACCUGACAAGGGAAUCUCAGGAUACAAGGAAAACACCAAGGAAUGUAAAUCUCUGUUUACCACAAGCCCUCUGUCUCCACAAGUUCUGUGUCCAGAACUGAAGGCAGAUCCAAAUACAAUAUUCAUGGGAUGCAAAUUCCCAUGUAUGCCAAGAGAUAACUGCUUUAUUGGAGGCCUAGUGGGGAACUGAAACUCCCACUCCUGCUUAGCAGGAAUGAGAAGCCCCCUUUCAGAGGUCAACAGAAGCUGAGUUAAGAAACCUGAACUUUUACCCUACCUGGCAGUAAUGAAGCGACACCCACCUUCGUCUGUGAGGAUGGUGUGAGAUGAAGGUAGCUAAAACAAAAGGUUUAAAUAAGAUUCAGAGUCUCAUCAUAUUGAAAUGUCCAUAUUUCAGUGGAAAAUUACUCAUCAUACAAAAACAAGAAAGAACUAAAACUAAGUGAGAAAAGAUAAUAAAUAUAUGCCAACAUCAAGAUGACACAAAUGUUAGAAUUAUCUGGCAAAGCUUGUAAAGCAGCCAUCAUAAAAAUACUCCAAUGAACAAUUAAAACAUUCUUGUAGCUAAUGAAAAUUUAUUUGGAAAGCUUCAACAAAGAAAUAGGAAGUCAUAACCAAAAAUAGAAGAUAAAAGAGUCAAAUGGAAAAUUUUGAACUGAAGAAUACAAUAACCAAUAUAAAAAACUCAAUGCAUGGGCAGAAUGGAGGAGACAGAGGAAAUAUUGGUGAACUGGAGGAAACAAUAUAAAUUGACCAUCUAUACAACAGAGAGAAGAUAGAGUGAAAAAAAGAUGAAAGGAACCUCAAAGACCUUCGAGAUUAUAGCAAAAAAAACCAAAAUAAAACAAAACCAAAAACCAACAAACAGACAGACAAAAAAUUAACCUUUGCAUUCCCUGAGUCCUAGAAGACCGGAAGAUGGCAGACCUGAAAAACAUUCUAAGAAAUAAUGGCUGAAAUGUGUUUAAAUUUAGCCAAAGACAUAAAUAUACAGAUUUAAGAAACUGAGUGAAUCCCAAAUAGGAUAAACUCACAGAAAUUCAUAGCAAGACACUCAUAGUCAAACUUUUGAGAA